CUUUUUAUGGAAGUAAGCCCAGGGGCAGGCUCCCAGUUCAACUGGUGGCAGGAAACUCUCAGUACCAACAAGGAUCUAUGUUGCCUGUGUGCUCAGGUGCUGAGGAUACUGUGGUGAACAGCAUACCUAGGAAGGCAGGACCACCAAAAUGCACUGCGGUGAGAGGGAUGAAGAGGAAGAUCCAAGCAGACAGUAUGAUUCAUUUAUGGCUUGCUACUACCAGUCAAGUCCUGUGCCAGAUUGUGAAUGAAGUUGGGACACAAAUGGACCUACUGGGUGCUAGAACAGAUGCAAAAGCCCAUCAAAGCUUUUCCCGAGAGCCCAGGGUCAGCAGAAACCCAGCCUUACAGACACACUUUUUAGAGCUCUUGACAUUUCCUCAAAGAAAGAACGGUCCUCUGUCUUUGAAGAUUGACAUUCUCUGGCACCAAGCGGGAAUACUGCUAGCAAAUCUUUUCCCUUUCUUAAAGUAGCUGUAAAAAGGAUGAUUAAACCAUAGAAAUGGGAGCAUCACUGAAAAAAAGAAGUUUUGUAAAGAUCAGCAUGGUGCAGUUCAGAGUGUUUAGGAUCUAUCAGUAUCUGGAAUCAGCAGAUACAGGUUCAAAAUCAUUCUGUAAAUGUUCCACCACUGGAAAACUUUCAAAAUAUCAGACAGCCA
ensembl:lncRNA